rnacentral:rRNA from 1 species
UGCCAGCCGCCGCGGUAAGACGGGGGGUGCAAGCGUUAUCCGGAUUUACUGGGUUUAAAGGGUACGUAGGCGGUUUUGAAAGUCAGUAGUGAAAACUAGUAGCUCAACUGUUAGCGUGCUAUUGAUACUUCUUGACUUGAGUGUAGUUGAGGUGGGUGGAAUUUUAUAUGUAGCGGUGAAAUGCAUAGAUAUAUAAAGGAACACCAAUAACGAAGGUAACUCACCAAGCUAUUACUGACGCUGAGGUACGAAAGCGUGGGGAGCAAACAGGAUUAGAUA